rnacentral:rRNA from 1 species
UACGUAGGGUGCGAGCGUUAAUCGGAAUUACUGGGUUUAAAGGGUGCGUAGGUGGGCUGGUAAGUCAGUGGUGAAAUCUCCAGGCUUAACUUGGAAACUGCCAUUGAUACUAUCAGUCUUGAAUACCGUGGAGGUCAGCGGAAUAUGUCAUGUAGCGGUGAAAUGCUUAGAUAUGACAUAGAACACCAAUUGCGAAGGCAGCUGGCUACACGAAUAUUGACACUGAUGCACGAAAGCGUGGGGAUCAAACAGG